rnacentral:rRNA from 1 species
GACGAACGCUGGCGGCGUGCUUAACACAUGCAAGUCGAACGGUAAGGCCCUUCGGGGUACACGAGUGGCGAACGGGUGAGUAACACGUGGGUGAUCUGCCCUGCACUUCGGGAUAAGCCUGGGAAACUGGGUCGAAUACCGGAUAGGACCCUGGGAUGCAUGUCCUGGGGUGGCAAGCUUUUUCGGUUUGGGAUGGGCCCGCGGCCUAUCAGCUUGUUGGUGGGGUGAUGGCCGACCAAGGCGUCGACGGGUAGCCGGCCGGUGAGGGUGACCGGCCACACUGGGACUGCGAUACGGCCCAGAAUCCUACGGGAGGCAGCAGUGGGGAAUAUUGCACAAUGGGCGCAAGUCUGAUGCAGCGACGCCGCGUGAGGGAUGACGGCCUUCGGGUUGUAAACCUCUUUCAGCACCGACGAAGCGCAAGUGACGGUAGGUGCAGAAGAAGGACCGGCCAACUACGUGCCAGCCGCCGCCGUAA